UACGGAGGAGGCAAGCGUUAUCCGGAAUUAUUGGGCGUAAAGCGUCCGCAGGUGGCACUUCAAGUCUGUCGUCAAAGACUGGGGCUUAACCCCGGAAAGGCGGUGGAAACUGAAGUGCUAGAGUGCAGUAGGGGUAGAGGGAAUUCCCGGUGUAGCGGUGAAAUGCGUAGAGAUCGGGAAGAACAUCGGUGGCGAAAGCGCUCUGCUGGACUGCAACUGACACUCAGGGACGAAAGCUAGGGGAGCGAAUGGG
rnacentral:rRNA from 1 species